rnacentral:rRNA from 1 species
UACAGAGGUCUCGAGCGUUAGGCGGAAUCACUGGGCUUAAAGCGUGUGUAGGCGGAUUGCUAAGUACCUUGUGAAAUCCCACGGCUUAACCGUGGAACUGCUUGGUAUACUGGCUGUCUUGAGCCACUUAGGGGCAACCGGAACAAACGGUGGAGCGGUGAAAUGCGUAGAUAUCGUUUGGAACGCCAAUGGUGAAAACAGGUUGCUGGGAGUGUGCUGACGCUGAGACACGAAAGCCAGGGGAGCAAACGGG